rnacentral:rRNA from 1 species
CCUACGGGCCGCACCAGUAGGGAAUCUUCGGCAAUGGACGAAAGUCUGACCGAGCAACGCCGCGUGAGUGAAGAAGGUUUUCGGAUCGUAAAACUCUGUUGUUAGAGAAGAACAAGUAGGAGAGUAACUGCUCUUACCUUGACGGUAUCUAACCAGAAAGCCACGGCUAACUACGUGCCAGCAGCCGCGGUACUACGUAGGUGGCAAGCGUUGUCCGGAUUUAUUGGGCGUAAAGCGAGCGCAGGCGGUCUUUUAAGUCUGAUGUGAAAGCCCUCGGCUCAACCGAGGAAGGUCAUUGGAAACUGGAGGACUUGAGUGCAGAAGAGGAGAGUGGAAUUCCAUGGGUAGCGGUGAAAUGCGUAGAUAUAUGGAGGAACACCAGUGGCGAAGGCGACUCUCUGGCCUGUAACUGACGCUGAGGCUCGAAAGCGUGGGGAGCAAGCAGGAUUAGAUACCCUGGUAGUC